rnacentral:misc_RNA from 1 species
ACGGAUGAUGGCGACUACAACAUCAAGAUGCGGAAUAUCCGCCGAUUUCUGGCUGAGGGCGACAAGUGCAAAAUCACCUUGCGCUUCCGUGGCCGCGAAAUCACCCACCAGGAAUUGGGUCUGGCCCUGCUGAAUCGCAUUCGCGAUGAUUUGGGCGAUACCAUCCUGAUCGAGCAGUUUCCGAAGCUCGAAGGCAGGCAGAUGAUCAUGAUGAUUGCGCCUGGCAAGAAGAAGCCCGCUGGCAAGCCAUCGGCAGAAGGCGCGACGACUCCUGCCUGAGAUUGACUGAAUCAGCGAGUUGAAUGAAUUGACUGGAGCAGCUUUUAAAACUGC